rnacentral:sRNA from 1 species
AAUUUUAGAUUUUUUAC